AACAGGUUAAUAUUCCUGUACCGCUUCAAAUCGUUUGAGCAAUGGAGUGACACAGAAGGUAGCUUGAGCACGCGAAUGGAUGUGCGUGUCGAAGGUGGUAGGUUGCAGUAUAGGCAAAUCCGUACUGUAUAAGACCGAGAACUGAUAGAUAGACGAUACUUCGGUAAAGUCAAAUUCAAGUGAGCCAUGCUGUCGAGAAAAGCUUCUAGUGAGAGAUGAGGCGCCCGUACCGAAACCGACACAGGUAGGCGGGGAGAGAAUCCUAAGGUGCGCGGGACAACCCUCGUUAAGGAACUCGGCAAAUUGUAUCCGUAACUUAGGGAUAAGGAUAGCCGGAGGAUGUGAAGGGAUUUACUUCUGGAGCGUCAGCCGGUGGCACAAGAGAGGCCCAAGCGACUGUUUAGCACAAACACAGGUGCCUGCAAAAGAGAAAUCUGACGUAUAGGUGCUGACACCUGCCCGGUGCUGGAAGGUUAAGAGGA
rnacentral:rRNA from 1 species